rnacentral:rRNA from 1 species
GACGAACGCUGGCGGCGUGCUUAACACAUGCAAGUCGAGCGAGGCCCUUCCUUCGGGAAGGUGUCCUAGCGGCGAACGGGUGAGUAACACGUGGGCAAUCUGCCCUCAGCUUUGGGAUAACUCCGGGAAACCGGAGCUAAUACCGAAUACGACCACUGGUGGCAUCUCCUAGUGGUGGAAAGAUUUAUCGGCUGAGGAUGAGCCCGCGGCCUAUCAGCUAGUUGGUGGGGUAAUAGCCCACCAAGGCAACGACGGGUAGCCGGCCUGAGAGGGCGAC